UUGGGGUUAAAAAAGUUUGGCAGCGCCCUUAAAGAAACUUAUCAACAUUACUAUCCUAUAUAAAUUAUUAAUAUAAUAUAUUUUCGGCGCAAAUUUAGAUGGGCUGGUCUAAUAUUAAUAAUAAUUCUUAAACAAUAUUCAUUAAGCCCAUGGGAGGUUAAGAGGAAAGGGGCUGCCAGUCAUAUUUUAAACAUUGGUGUGACCAGGGGAGGCCGGCCCUACUCAAAACCUAAGGCCGAACCGCCUACGCAUAUAGCCCCAACGAAUGCCCUAACUCCCGGCAUCCCAUCACCCCCACCCCCCACCGUGUCCAACCGCAUUUCAGUCCAAUCCUGACAGCCUAUUAGUGGUUUAGGAAGUUAUUAUAACUUCCCAAACCGGCGUCACUUGAAAAGUGACGCCAAAGGGUUGUAAUAGUUUAAUCGCUGGUGCCACUAGGGGAGUGGCAAAAAAAAUCCAGCGAUGGUUAAUUUAAUAUUUCCUUUUAAGUAUCAAGCCUGCCAGAAGGAGAGAGGUGAACGCGGCCGAUCCAUGGAAAAACAGGCGACUCCUCAGUUGUCUUCUAAAACAACAUGAUUAGGUCAUUUAGAAGACGCGGCGAACACUUUAAUCUAUAAUACCUAGGGCAGUAGACGAGGUAAUAUUAACCAAGCCACUACCAAAGGCACAGACCAGACACCUGCCCUGUUAAAUUACAU